AGGAGAUAUCUCUUCUCAGCUGGCUCGCCUAUGUUGUGAAAGCGUAAUUCUAGAUAGGAAACACCAAUCGAAGAAUAAAACACAAAUACCACAAGCAAACAUGCUUCGUUGACAUAAGGGCAUAAGCUGGAAGAAUUGUCACACUCCCUCAGAGCGGCAUCCUGUUACAGUAACACCUCCGUUAGCCACAAAAGGCUUUAGGGCAACACAAAGAGAUCACAUGAAGCUGCUUCUUAUAAAAUCAGGCAAGCAUAAAAUUGUAAAUCAGAUGAUGCUUGAUAUUUUUCUUGAUCAUAACUACCUGUGGUUACGCUGUUUGCGUGGGUGGUCCUUGUGGCCCUAGUGUCGAUUGCUCGAGCAAUUCAAAGUGCGUUCUUCUCAAAGACUGUAACGAGGAUAUUCAUGGACACAAGAAGCUGCUUAACAUAUCAGACAAGUCUCUUCAAACUGAGUUUGAACUUCUUCUUGCUAGAGCUGUUGAUUUUGCUCAGAAGUGUAGAAGCCCGCUCGUAAGGGUAAUGUAGAAGCUAUCAGAAGCUUUCACCGCAUUGGUUGAUGCACCAAUGGGAAGCAAAACAAUAGAACGAAAAUACAAUAGAACAACAAGGUAAUCCAGCCAAUAGAACAACGAGGUAAUCCAGCCAAUAGAACAACGAGGUAAUCCAGCCAAUAGUCAGUAGUCCUAGGCAACAGCAGACAAAAGACAGAUUACGAACUACUCAAUCAACAACACCACGAAGCUCGGGAGCAAUUUUAACUAUAUUCAUUCAAACAAUUAAGGUGAGCUCCGUGUUGGUUAGGUAUAUACAGCAGCUUUCUCUCUAACAUAUGGUGGGCCCACUCAUGAAUCUUGCAGUAUACUCUACUAUGGAGCGAUAUUCGUCGGAUUUGAGUGCAAAAGGAAUGCUGGGGAUGGUGUCGUGGUCCUGACUGUGUGAUUGGUCGGAAUGUAAUGUCCCUAGCAUACUGAUCGGGUUUCCUGUGGCUUGUAAUAGUUGUGACGUCCCAGAUUCCACGCUUCCGCGCGGUUCGUCUACGGGCCCCGGAUAAACUAGUAGGAACACCAGAGACAAGAUGAUUUAUAUCGACCAAUAAGGCUGUCUAAAUAAACAUAAUCACUCAGA